AUGAACGCUGGCGGCGUGCCUAAUACAUGCAAGUCGAGCGAACGGACGAGAAGCUUGCUUCUCUGAUGUUAGCGGCGGACGGGUGAGUAACACGUGGAUAACCUACCUAUAAGACUGGGAUAACUUCGGGAAACCGUAGCUAAUACCGGAUAAUAUUUUGAACCGCAUGGUUCAAAAGUGAAAGACGGUCUUGCUGUCACUUAUAGAUGGAUCCGCGCUGCAUUAGCUAGUUGGUAAGGUAACGGCUUACCAAGGCAACGAUGCAUAGCCGACCUGAGAGGGUGAUCGGCCACACUGGAACUGAGACACGGUCCAGACUCCUACGGGAGGCAGCAGUAGGGAAUCUUCCGCAAUGGGCGAAAGCCUGACGGAGCAACGCCGCGUGAGUGAUGAAGGUCUUCGGAUCGUAAAACUCUGUUAUUAGGGAAGAACAUAUGUGUAAGUAACUGUGCACAUCCUGACGGUACCUAAUCAGAAAGCCACGGCUAACUACGUG
rnacentral:rRNA from 1 species